rnacentral:tRNA from 1 species
UCCCUGGUGGCUCAGUGGUAAAGAAUUUGCCUGCCAAGCAGAAGACGCAGGUUCGAUCCCUGGAUUAGGAA